UGCGAAUGGCUCAUUAUAUAAGUUAUCGUUUAUUUGAUAGUGCCUUACUACUUGGAUAACCGUGGUAAUUCUAGAGCUAAUACAUGCUGAAAAUCCCGACUUCGGAAGGGAUGUGUUUAUUAGAUUAAAAACCAAUGCCCUCUGGGCUCCUUGGUGAUUCAUGAUAACUGUUCGAAUCGCAUGGCCUUGCGCCGGCGAUGGUUCAUUCAAAUUUCUUCCCUAUCAACUUUCGAUGUUUGGGUAUUGGCCAAACAUGGUCGCAACGGGUAACGGAGGGUUAGGGCUCGACCCCGGAGAAGGAGCCUGAGAAACGGCUACUACAUCCAAGGAAGGCAGCAGGCGCGCAAAUUACCCAAUCCCGAUCCGGGGAGGUAGUGACAAUAAAUACUGAUACAGGGCUCUUUUGGGUCUUGUAAUUGGAAUGAGUACAAUUUAAAUCCCUUAACGAGGAACAAUUGGAGGGCAAGUCUGGUGCCAGCAGCCGCGGUAAUUCCAGCUCCAAUAGCGUAUAUUAAAGUUGUUGUGGUUAAAAAGCUCGUAGUUGAACCUUGGGCCUGGCUGGCCGGUCCGCCUCACCGCGUGCACUGGUCCGGCCGGGCCUUUCCCUCUGCGGAACCCCAUGCCCUUCACUGGGUGUGGCGGGGAAGCAGGACUUUUACUUUGAAAAAAUUAGAGUGCUUCAGGCAGGCCUAUGCUCGAAUACAUUAGCAUGGAAUAAUGAAAUAGGACGCGCGGUUCUAUUUUGUUGGUUUCUGGGACCGCCGUAAUGGUUAAUAGGGACAGUCGGGGGCAUCAGUAUUCAAUCGUUAGAGGUGAAAUUCUUGGAUCGAUUGAAGACUAACUACUGCGAAAGCAUUUGCCAAGGAUGUUUUCAUUAAUCAGGAACGAAAGUUAGGGGAUCGAAGACGAUCAGAUACCGUCGUAGUCUUAACCAUAAACUAUGCCGACUAGGGAUCGGACGACGUUAAUUUUUGACGCGUUCGGCACCUUACGAGAAAUCAAAGU
rnacentral:rRNA from 1 species